rnacentral:rRNA from 1 species
UACGAAGGGUGCAAGCGUUACUCGGAAUUACUGGGCGUAAAGGGUGCGUAGGUGGUUGUUUAAGUCUGUUGUGAAAGCCCCGGGCUCAACCUGGGAAUGGCAAUGGAUACUGGACAGCUAGAGUGCGGUAGAGGGUAGUGGAAUUCCCGGUGUAGCAGUGAAAUGCGUAGAUAUGCGGAGGAACACCGAUGGCGAAGGCAAUCCCCUGGACCUGUACUGACGCUCAUGCACGAAAGCGUGGGGAGCAAACAGG